UACGGGGGGGGCAAGCGUUGUUCGGAAUUACUGGGCGUAAAGGGCUCGUAGGCGGCCAACUAAGUCGGAUGUGAAAUCCCCAGGCUUAACCUGGGAACUGCAUCCGAUACUGGAUGGCUUGAAUUCGGGAGAGGGAUGCAGAAUUCCAGGUGUAGCGGUGAAAUGCGUAGAUAUCUGGAGGAAUACCGGUGGCGAAGGCGGCAUCCUGGACCAUUACUGACGCUGAGGAGCGAAAGCCAGGGGAGCAAACGGG
rnacentral:rRNA from 1 species